rnacentral:lncRNA from 1 species
AAAAAAGAAAAAAGAAACCACUUUCUUUGCUUGUCCAUAAAAAGCAAUGUUUCAUCUGUUCAAGUUUUAUCAUAUUACAACAGAACUAAUUCUAGUUCUAUUGCUGUCUCUACCAUAUCUGCAGUUACUUCCUCCUCUUAAGUCCCAAACUCUUCAAAGUCAUCCAUGAGGGUUGGAAUCAACUUCUUCCAAACUGUUAAUGGUGACAUUCUGACCUCCUCCCAUGAAUCCUGAAUGGUCUUAACAGCAUCUAAAAUGAUGAUAGAUCCAUGAUGCAUAGUUACAGGAUAUGAGAAUUCACUGUGAAUCCCCCAACCACUGAGGAUGGUAUCACGAUGAGCAACGACCAUGCAGUCCCAUGAAAUGUCCCUCAGCAUCACAACCAGCAGCUCAUCCUGUCCUUUCCCUGCUCCAGCUAUGGAAUCUACCAUAUCUCCAAAGAAUCCUGGAAGAGCCUCUCCUGAGACAAAAUCAUAUAUCAGAAAACUAAUAAGACAGGAAAUUUAAGUACACGUUGAAAGAAAAAGAUACUUUGUUACACGAAGCUGAAGUCAGUGAAACUUGUAACAAGGCAGGCUCAAACAGAGGUACCAACUACAGGUAUUUUAUUUUUAUUUAAUAACAAUAAUGUUUCACUGAUUUCCUUGAGUUCUCAAAGAUCUAAGUAAAUUUUAGUAUGCAAUCCUAUCUUAAAGCUAGGAACCUACAAGAAACAACCAAAUAUCAACCCCAAACAGUGACAAAGUGAUUAUUAGUAGGGCCAAGCUAGGGGGGUGGGAAGGGGAAGCCAUGGUAGCCUACUGCAGGUGUUAAUGCCUGACCUGGGUUACAAUGGGUUCACAUGGGGCUGUUGGUAGCCUGGUCCAGUACUGAGGAGAGUAUCUGUGCAGGAGGGUGGCCUGGUGCAGGCUGGCGAAGCACAGGCAGGGUAAAGAGGGUAUCUCCACAAAGGCAUGGUCUGGCUUCAGGUGAGGAAGGAAUCUGUCUGGGGUCGGGCAGAGGCUAGCGGGUGGGAAGGAUGAGAUGGAGAGGCACCUGGCACAAAGCGUCAGAGCAGAGCUCAGUAAAAGGGACUCCAUGACGAAGAGCAACCUGGCACGGAUGUCAGAGCCCAGACAAGGUAAAAGAAGUGUCAAUGCUGGGUGCGGCGCCAUGUGGUGGCCUGGUGUGUAGUGUUGAGUCCGAGCUGGGGAAAAAGAACAUUUCUGCAAUGGAA